rnacentral:rRNA from 1 species
CCUACGGGAGGCAGCAGUGAGGAAUAUUGGUCAAUGGGCGCGAGCCUGACCCAGCCAAGUAGCGUGAAGGAUGACGGCCCUACGGGUUGUAAACUUCUUUUAUAAAGGAAUAAAGUGAGGCACGUGUGCCUUUUUGUAUGUACUUUGUGAAUAAGGAUCGGCAAACUCCGGGCCAGCCGCCGCGGUGAUACGGAGGCACCGAGCGUUAACCGGCUUGAUUUGGGUUAAAAGGAGGGUAAAAGGGUUGUUAAGUCAAUUGGGAAAGUUUGCGGCUCAACCGUCAAAUUGCAAUUGAUACUGGCAGUCUUGAGUACAGUUGAGGUAGGCGGAAUGCGUGGUGUAGCGGUGAAAUGCUUAGAUAUCACGAAGAACUCCGAUUGCGAAGGCAGCUUACUAACCUGCCACUGACACUGAUGCUCGAAAGUGUGGGUAUCAAACAGGAUUAGAUACCCUGGUAGUC